rnacentral:rRNA from 1 species
CACGUAGGCGGAUCAUCAAGCGUCUUGUGAAAGCCCUCGGCUCAACCGAGGAAUGGCUAGGCGAACUGAUGGUCUUGAGGCAGGUAGGGGCAAGUGGAACUCUUGGUGGAGCGGUGGAAUGCGUAGAUAUCAAGAGGAACGCCAGAGGCGAAGGCGACUUGCUGGGCCUGUCCUGACGCUGAGGUGCGAAAGCCAGGGGAGCGAACG